GAAGGUGAAAGCGAUUGUGUUUUUGGCCACAUGCCUUCCUGAAAACACAUUAGUCUUUGAUUUUCAACGAGACCCUUGAAAAACAGAAGCUCCCGAGAAGAAAGAGAAAGAGAUCUCCACGGUUGAGAGGAAGUUGUGUGGCUCAGGUUCUACCCAUCUGGCAACACCUGAAGUUGCUCAACGUCCUCCAGGAUCCACAUCUAAAGGAUAUACAGGUGAUGCAAUUGCAUAGGGGCCCGCCGCAGUCCGGGGCCCGCAACGGACCACUCCGAUCACGUUGCCGUGGAUGUUAGCAGGAAGGUGGCUAAAUAACGCUCCAAAGUUGGCGAUGUAAAAACUGGCAUUGCCAUUUUCAAAGGGAUCCCUUGACGUCUGACCUCAAGAUACCUGAAACACCUGAAUUAUACAGAAAAAAUACAACUACUUUUGCAAUUUCUCCCACAAUUCCAUUGCAAAAACAAUACCUGAAGAACACUGCAACAUGCAUUUAUGUAUUUUGAAUAUUUCUUUUGUUCUUUUACCUGCUGGUUUAACGGCUCAUAAUGCAGGUUAUCAUAAUUAAACUGAUGAGCUCUUCAAAUCAACAUGAGAACAUCGUUAGCUGCUUGUACUCUCUGUACUCAUUAAAAACCUCUUACAUGGAACACGCUGUGAGCUCGCCAGUUACAGCCUCAGUGUACAUGCACAGUUAAAACAUCAAGGAUAACACAAUAAAGUCACAGGAUUUCUGUUGUGGUUAGAUGCCGUAAAGGUCUGAGUGUAAAAGCAUAAAUAACAACAAUAAACAGAAAGUAUUCACAUUAUUGCUUUUUAAAUAUUUCACAGUCGUUGUUCAGAUGUUCUUAACUUGUGUCCAGUGAAAAAUGUCAUUUAUUAUUGUAUUGUGUAAAUUAUAUUAUAUUAUUACUUUACUAAUUACUCCCUGCCAACAGUAAUUAGUUACACUGCUAGUGAUAUUACUUUUCUGUUUGGUAAUUGUGUCCCCUCUCCCCAAAAUUCAGAUUGACAAUGAUUAAAAUCAAAGGUUUUGGGGUUGGGAGAGUUACUUUAAAAGUGUAAUCUGAUAUAAUUACUAAUUACCUGGAAAAAACUGUAGUCAGUAAUAUAAUCAAAGUAUCACAAUAUUAAAAUAACAUAACUUGAUUAGUUUCAGUUACUUUUUUCUGUAACUGUAAUGAAUUACAUUUUUUUUGCAUCCUGAUUAUGUAAUCUGUUACUCCCCAAACCUGUGGACAAAUACUCCAAACCCAGUAAAGUCCAUGUGUAUUUUAUUUCAAUAAAAGUACAGUAUUAGUGGAACAGAUGGAUAGAUGGAUGGAUGGAUGGAUAGAUGGAUAGACAGAUGGAUAGAUAGAUAAAGUGGGAUGAAAAGUUAAAAUAAUAAUACAGUAUUUGUUAUCUCAGUGUACUUCCCCCUCUGAUCACAUUCCUUUAACCCCUGCGGUGUAUGUGGCUGC